AUUAGUCGGAAAGUUCAUCCCCCACCGGAAAUUCACAGCCAUCCGUUUAGUCACAGGAAUGGCUGUCCUUGCCAUUACAGCAACACCUGAGAAAACACUAUCUCUAAUGCUUUUCGUCUCAGCCAAAUGCCUCUGAAUUCCUCCAUCAGAAAGAACUCCAAACUCCUCCUGAGAACCAUGGCCACUACUACUACUCUCCAG
rnacentral:misc_RNA from 1 species